rnacentral:misc_RNA from 1 species
AUUCUCAUGACAGUGCAUACAGUGUAUCCAUAAAAUGAUUUGUUCUUAGGUUGAUACAUGCAAAAGAUGGUUUCAACAUGGAAAGAAGCAAACUAUACAGAUUCAGCACAAUUUUAUUACGAAACUAUAUGUGAAUAUCAUUUUGGCCUAGACAAAAAUGUGCAUGCACCACAGAUUUUGCUAAAGCAUAAUCAAAAGAUAGACUUAGACCAAAUCCUUGGUUUCAGCCUAGCAUGACAGGGAAUUUAUCUGUCAUCCCAAAUAGUUUCCACAUUGAUGAUUUCCCUUCAAACA